AUUUUUUGUUGACACGGGGUUGUGCCAUGUUGCCCAGGCUGGUCUCAAACUCCUGGGCUCAAGUGAUUUUUCCCCUUGGCCUCCCAAGGUGCUGGGAUUACAGGCAUGAGCUGUGGCUCCUGACCCAUUAUUAUUGUUUUUAAUUCACACAUCAUAAUUAUACAUAUUAGUGGGAUACAGUGUGAUAUUUCCAUACAUUUAUACAAUGUGUAAUGCCCACAUCCAUCCGUCCACAUUAGCAUUUCCAUCACAUCAGACUUAUAGUCAUCCUAUAGUGCUGUAGAACACUAGAACUUAUUCUUCCUAUCUAGCUGCACUUUUAUAUCUAUUAACCAACCUCUGGCUAUACCCUACAAGCUAGAAGGGAUUGGGGCCCUAUCUUCAGCCUCCUCAAACAAAACAAUUAUCAGCCAAGAAUUUUCUAUCCAGCAAAACUAAUCAUCAUAUAGGAAGGAAAGAUACAGUCUUUUUCAGACAAACCAGUGCUGAGAGAAUUUGUGACUG
rnacentral:lncRNA from 10 species